GAAGAUGAAGAUGGAAACUGAAGAUUAUUAUAUCAUUUGCUUAUAAAGAUAUCAAACUGACCAAUAUUGAAGUUGCUUUCCAAGCUGUGGGAGCAACAACAGAUUGUGGAAGCUGAAAUCAUGAAGUGUAACAAGGCUAUUGAGACCGUGUUACAUGGUGGUAAAAGUGAUUUGUCAAGCAUUGAACAUAUGAUAGAAGAUCCUUCUAAUGCUUAUCUGGAAAUCGAAGAAAUUCAACAGAGCACUAGUCUUA